rnacentral:rRNA from 1 species
AAGCAGGCGUAACUCGCCUCCGAAUACGUUAGCAUGGGAUAAUGGAAUACGACUUCGGUCUUGUUUCGUUGGUUUCGCUUGGCUGAAGUAAUGAUUGAUAGGGACAGUUGGGGGCAUUAGUAUUUAGUUGUCAGAGGUGAAAUUCUAGGAUUUACUAAAGACUGACCAAUGCGAAAGCAUUUGCCAAGGAUGUUUUCAUUAAUCAAGAACGAAAGUAGGGGGAUCGAAGACGAUCAGAUACCGUCGUAGUCUCUACCGUAAACUAUGCCGACCAGGGAUCCGGAGAGUUUGCAUGGAUGACUCCCCGGGCACCUUGUGAGAAAUCAUAAGUGUUUGGGUUUUGGGGGGAGUAUGGUCGCAAGGCUGAAACUUAAAGGAAUUGACGGAAGGGCACCACCAGGAGUGGAACCUGCGGCUUAA